rnacentral:rRNA from 1 species
GAUGAACGCUGGCGGCGUGCCUAAUACAUGCAAGUCGAGCGAACGGACGAGAAGCUUGCUUCUCUGAUGUUAGCGGCGGACGGGUGAGUAACACGUGGAUAACCUACCUAUAAGACUGGGAUAACUUCGGGAAACCGGAGCUAAUACCGGAUAAUAUUUUGAACCGCAUGGUUCAAAAGUGAAAGACGGUCUUGCUGUCACUUAUAGAUGGAUCCGCGCUGCAUUAGCUAGUUGGUAAGGUAACGGCUUACCAAGGCAACGAUGCAUAGCCGACCUGAGAGGGUGAUCGGCCACACUGGAACUGAGACACGGUCCAGACUCCUACGGGAGGCAGCAGUAGGGAAUCUUCCGCAAUGGGCGAAAGCCUGACGGAGCAACGCCGCGUGAGUGAUGAAGGUCUUCGGAUCGUAAAACUCUGUUAUUAGGGAAGAACAUAUGUGUAAGUAACUGUGCACAUCUUGACGGUACCUAAUCAGAAAGCCACGGCUAACUACGUGCCAGCAGCCGCGGUAAUACGUAGGCGGCAAGCGUUAUCCGGAAUUAUUGGGCGUAAAGCGCGCGUAGGCGGUUUUUUAAGUCUGAUGUGAAAGCCCACGGCUCAACCGUGGAGGGUCAUUGGAAACUGGAAAACUUGAGUGCAGAAGAGGAAAGUGGAAUUCCAUGUGUAGCGGUGAAAUGCGCAGAGAUAUGGAGGAACACCAGUGGCGAAGGCGACUUUCUGGUCUGUAACUGACGCUGAUGUGCGAAAGCGUGGGGAUCAAACAGGAUUAGAUACCCUGGUAGUCCACGCCGUAAACGAUGAGUGCUAAGUGUUAGGGGGUUUCCGCCCCUUAGUGCUGCAGCUAACGCAUUAAGCACUCCGCCUGGGGAGUACGACCGCAAGGUUGAAACUCAAAGGAAUUGACGGGGACCCGCACAAGCGGUGGAGCAUGUGGUUUAAUUCGAAGCAACGCGAAGAACCUUACCAAAUCUUGACAUCCUUUGACAACUCUAGAGAUAGAGCCUUCCCCUUCGGGGGGCAAAGUGACAGGUGGUGCAUGGUUGUCGUCAGCUCGUGUCGUGAGAUGUUGGGUUAAGUCCCGCAACGAGCGCAACCCUUAAGCUUAGUUGCCAUCAUUAAGUUGGGCACUCUAAGUUGACUGCCGGUGACAAACCGGAGGAAGGUGGGGAUGACGUCAAAUCAUCAUGCCCCUUAUGAUUUGGGCUACACACGUGCUACAAUGGACAAUACAAAGGGCAGCGAAACCGCGAGGUCAAGCAAAUCCCAUAAAGUUGUUCUCAGUUCGGAUUGUAGUCUGCAACUCGACUACAUGAAGCUGGAAUCGCUAGUAAUCGUAGAUCAGCAUGCUACGGUGAAUACGUUCCCGGGUCU